AUUGAACGCUGGCGGAAUGCUUUACACAUGCAAGUCGAGCGGCAGCGCGGGGCAACCUGGCGGCGAGCGGCGAACGGGUGAGUAAUACAUCGGAACGUACCCAGUUGUGGGGGAUAGCCCGGCGAAAGCCGGAUUAAUACCGCAUACGACCUGAGGGUGAAAGGGGGGGAUCGCAAGACCUCUCGCAGUUGGAGCGGCCGAUGGCGGAUUAGCUAGUUGGUAGGGUAAAGGCCUACCAAGGCGACGAUCCGUAGCUGGUCUGAGAGGACGACCAGCCACACUGGAACUGAGACACGGUCCAGACUCCUACGGGAGGCAGCAGUGGGGAAUAUUGGACAAUGGGGGCAACCCUGAUCCAGCCAUGCCGCGUGUGUGAAGAAGGCCUCGGUUGUAAGAC
rnacentral:rRNA from 1 species